UAUCUCAGUUGGUAGAGCAUGGUGUUUACAACGCCAGAAUUGUGGGUUUGAUUCCCAU
rnacentral:tRNA from 1 species